rnacentral:rRNA from 1 species
UUCGGGGUACUCGAGUGGCGAACGGGUGAGUAACACGUGGGUGAUCUGCCCUGCACUCUGGGAUAAGCCUGGGAAACUGGGUCUAAUACCGGAUAGGACCACACACUUCAUGGUGAGUGGUGCAAAGCUUUUGCGGUGUGGGAUGAGCCCGCGGCCUAUCAGCUUGUUGGUGGGGUAAUGGCCCACCAAGGCGACGACGGGUAGCCGGCCUGAGAGGGUGACCGGCCACACUGGGACUGAGAUACGGCCCAGACUCCUACGGGAGGCAGCAGUGGGGAAUAUUGCACAAUGGGCGCAAGCCUGAUGCAGCGACGCCGCGUGAGGGAUGACGGCCUUCGGGUUGUAAACCUCUUUCAGUAGGGACGAAGCGAAAGUGACGGUACCUACAGAAGAAGGACCGGCCAACUACGUGCCAGCAGCCGCGGUAAUACGUAGGGUCCGAGCGUUGUCCGGAAUUACUGGGCGUAAAGAGCUCGUAGGUGGUUUGUCGCGUUGUUCGUGAAAACUCACAGCUUAACUGUGGGCGUGCGGGCGAUACGGGCAGACUAGAGUACUGCAGGGGAGACUGGAAUUCCUGGUGUAGCGGUGGAAUGCGCAGAUAUCAGGAGGAACACCGGUGGCGAAGGCGGGUCUCUGGGCAGUAACUGACGCUGAGGAGCGAAAGCGUGGGUAGCGAACAGGAUUAGAUACCCUGGUAGUCCACGCCGUAAACGGUGGGUACUAGGUGUGGGUUUCCUUCCUUGGGAUCCGUGCCGUAGCUAACGCAUUAAGUACCCCGCCUGGGGAGUACGGUCGCAAGACUAAAACUCAAAGGAAUUGACGGGGGCCCGCACAAGCGGCGGAGCAUGUGGAUUAAUUCGAUGCAACGCGAAGAACCUUACCUGGGUUUGACAUGCACAGGACGUACCUAGAGAUAGGUAUUCCCUUGUGGCCUGUGUGCAGGUGGUGCAUGGCUGUCGUCAGCUCGUGUCGUGAGAUGUUGGGUUAAGUCCCGCAACGAGCGCAACCCUUGUCCUAUGUUGCCAGCGGGUAAUGCCGGGGACUCGUAGGAGACUGCCGGGGUCAACUCGGAGGAAGGUGGGGAUGACGUCAAGUCAUCAUGCCCCUUAUGUCCAGGGCUUCACACAUGCUACAAUGGCCAGUACAGAGGGCUGCGAAGCUGUAAGGUGGAGCGAAUCCCUUAAGCUGGUCUCAGUUCGGAUUGGGGUCUGCAACUCGACCCCAUGAAGUCGGAGUCGCUAGUAAUCGCAGAUCAGCAACGCUGCGGUGAAUACGUUCCCGGGCCUUGUACACACCGCCCGUCACGUCAUGAAAGUCGGUAACACCCGAAGCCA